AUAACAGCAUUCGGACCGUCGGUCUACCGAGCAAUAUCACCCGCUCGGUUGAAGAUCUUUCCUCCGUCGUUAAGC
rnacentral:pre_miRNA from 1 species